ACGUGUUAAAGUCGUCAUCCACAUAGGCAAACAGAACAAACGGUUCCUGGUGAGUGAUGAAGUGCAAAUUUACAAAGUUCAGUGAGUAAUUGGGUGCAAAGUAAAGUUGAGUGGGUGAAAUGUGACGUCUUGUAAAGUUCGGUAAGUAUUCAAACAAUUAACUCUUUAACCCGAUGAGUGAUGGAGUGCAAGUUUACAAAGUUCAGUGAGUAAUUGGGUGCAAAGUAAAGUUCAGUGAGUGAAACGUGACGCCCUUUAA
rnacentral:lncRNA from 1 species